CCUUGUACACACCGCCCGUCACACCACGAAAGUUUGUUGUACCUGAAGUCGUUGGCGCCAACCGCAAAGGGGCAGACGCCCACGGUGGGAUCAGCGACUGGGGUG
rnacentral:rRNA from 1 species